rnacentral:rRNA from 1 species
GAUGAACGCCGGCGGUGUGCCUAAUACAUGCAAGUCGAACGGAGUUACAUUGAAAGCUUGCUGGAUAUGUAACUUAGUGGCGGACGGGUGAGUAACACGUGAGUAAUCUGCCUUCCAGAGGGGAAUAACGUUUGGAAACGAACGCUAAUACCGCAUAACGUACGGUCCUCACAUGGGGACUGUACCAAAGAUUUUAUCGCUGGAAGAUGAGCUCGCGGCCGAUUAGGUAGUUGGUGAGAUAACAGCCCACCAAGCCGACGAUCGGUAGCUGGACUGAGAGGUUGAUCGGCCACAUUGGGACUGAGACACGGCCCAG